CACCGGCCGGCUUUUCCUCUGCUGGUGGUUGACCUCGUCCCUCACCUCCGGACGGAUGAAAGCCACCCCUCACCUCGCCUCGCCCCUCGGCCUCUCGUCGGGAGGUGAAAGCCACGGCGACAGCGGCAGCGCCAGCUCCCAAGAGCGCGCGCGCGCCGCCCCCAAGAUGGAUUAAGCCGAGACAAGACGAGACGAGACCACCGUCUCGUCUUCCCCCUCACCCCUCUACCACCGCCGCCGCGGCACGCGGCGCGCCUCCAGGAAGUCCCUGAGCGAGUUCCACGACCUCCGCCUGUAGGUCGUGCGGUUGUUGGACCGCAGGCUCACGAGCUCCCUGAUGCUGCCCCGCACGGACGUCUACGCGUACAGGAUGUCGGGGCGGCGCGCGGAGAAGGAGAAGGAGGACGUCACCUGGCUGACGUCGGAGCGGCCGCGGGAGCCGGAGGAGUCCUAGGAGUAGAUGUUCCAAAUACACCUGCCGUGUUGGUGGUACAGGUGGGUGCUUUCCUUCCGGUCGUAGUCCCUCAAGAUGCGCCACUAUAAGGGGAGGGAGUACGUCGACCUCGUGCCCUAGUCGCUGAGGCUGCUGGCCUCCGUCUCCCGCCGCACGAGGCUCUCCAUGUCCGCCUCUCUGCUCGGCCUCCUGUCGUUCUCCGGCCAGAGGCUCUAGCUGCGGCUCUAGCUUCUCCUCACGCCCUAGACGUACCUCGAGUUGUCGUCCCAGCACGACGGGUUGACGUCGGUGCUGUACACGUAGUUGACGAUGGCAGUUACCGCGAGCUCUAGAGUUAGGACGGGGAAGACGGCCCUGUCGGAGUUUUCUCAUUUGAGGCCGCUGGAUACCUACGAGUGGCUGGUCGCGCUGCACCAGCUGUACCGCUGCCACUGCUCCCUCUUGUAGUCCGCGGACAAGUGGAUGUAGCUCUUCGACGGAGAGCAGUGCGACCUGUUGUAGAAGCUACGGAUACUAAGGGUACAUUUUAUUGAAACUCGGCAACUGCUACUGAACGAGAGCUGACAAAAAAGAAAGACCCUCGCAACUGCGUACCGAACAACAACAACAACCAAGUACGUCUCCUACAAGGAGCAGGAUCCUACACCGACUGGUACGUACCUACCUCGUCGGACUGUCUCUCUGGGUUGGACACACUCGUGGGAUCCCAGGAGUCCGAAACAUUUAUGUACAUGUCUAAAUGUCAAACGUACCUUUACAAUGUCCCUUUUCAGUCUUGUUGUUAUACAAUAAUACGUCUGUAUAUCACGUACAUGAUGGAGGCAAAACUUUAU
rnacentral:rRNA from 1 species